rnacentral:tRNA from 1 species
GGGGAUAUAGCUCAGUGGUAGAGUGCGUGCUUGGUGUGCAUGAGGUCCUGGGUUCGAUCCCCAGUGCCUCUG